UUCCGCCCGCUGUGCGCGGGGUACGCCGGGACUUGUAGUUCUCUGCGGACAUAGCGGACCGGUUAAGCUGAGCGUGUAGGUGUGGUCUAAAUUAUACAAAGUUGAGUUUGGAACAGCAAAAGAGAAAAAAAAAUACUAUGGGCAAUAAUAGGAGAAAGAAGUAUGAAGAAAGAGGGGGUUAAGCAGAUUUCUGCAUUGUGCGGCAGCAGUGCUGGUGUGUGAUCAUCGUCAAGUUUUCUGCCACAAUGGAGUGAAUGGCAUUUUCAGAGAAGUCAGGAAAGAGGUCCUGUGUUCUCCCUGUCUCUAGUUUCCUACAUGUUUUCAUCUAUUUACCAUGCCUUAAUAUUCACUCACCUAUAAAACAUCUGCUGUGUUCUAGAUACCGUUUCACCCAUGGCAUGAAUCUACAUGCAAGGCGAGCUUUUAUUUCCUUUCACAGAUACUCUGACCUUUGACUACUCUUCAGUUCUUCCAUCACUGCCUCUCUGACUCUCUGAUGAUAUAGUACCUGUGGUUUCCUUAACAUCAAGAUAAUGAAAUUGUCAUUCAUAGUAUUUUUAAAUGACCUGUAUAAUGAUCUGAUAGUCUAGCUGCUGGGCUAUGGGGUAUAAUUCAGUUUUGCUGUUAUAGAGUUUUAAAGUAAGAACAUCUAUGGACUAGAUGUACUAUUGGGAGAGAGUUACUUUUCAUUAUUUGUGUGAGCCCACACUGGAGAGUUAUGCAGAGAUAAAAAAAUGAAUUGCAUAAUCAUUACGUUUUAAGUUCAGAGAUGUUCAUUACCAUGUUAUGUAUCAUCCAAAAUAUUGGCUACGAUUUUUUUUUGUCCACCACUAGAGAAUUAAUUAAAUAAAGUUGAAGAGAAUUAAGUACAACAUUACAAUUGUUUUAGAAUUGUGAUACUAUUAUAUUUAUAAUUAUUA